ACAUCUUCAGUAUUUGUGUACAGGCGCCUUCCAAGCGCCAAGAUUCUAAGAAAAGAUGUA
rnacentral:tRNA from 1 species